UUGUUGUUCCAGAUUAGCCUAUGAAGACUGGACAGGCUAAUCUGAGACGCUUCUUUAUGCACAUGCAUUCAUACGUACUUUGAGUUGCAUUUCUUUUCAUGUUUAAGAAGAUUUUCAACAAAGUUGGAAUUACAAUUUAAUAAGGUCAGAUCUUUUUUUUUUCAAGAGAGACAAACACUCUUGUGUCCAAAACAUAGAAUAAAUACAUGUUUCUUGAUAUUGAUUUGAAUUCCUCCAUAUGGAGGCAUAUAGUUAAAGCAUUGUCUGUCUAUCUGUCUCUGUAUACAUAGGUCUAUGACUCAGUGAAGCAUUGUCUGUCUAUCUAUCUGUCUCUGUAUACAUAGGUCUAUGACUCAGUGAAGCAUUGUCUGUCUAUCUGUCUCUGUAUACAUAGGUCUAUGACUCAGUGAAGCAUUGUCUGUCUAUCUGUCUCUGUAUACAUAGGUCUAUGACUCAGUGAAGCAUUGUCUGUCUAUCUGUCUCUGUAUACAUAGGUCUAUGACUCAGUGAAGCAUUGUCUGUCUAUCUGUCUCUGUAUACAUAGGUCUAUGACUCAGUGAAGCAUUGUCUGUCUAUCUGUCUCUGUAUACAUAGGUCUAUGACUCAGUGAAGCAUUGUCUGUCUAUCUGUCUCUGUAUACAUAGGUCUAUGACUCAGUGAAGCAUUGUCUGUCUAUCUGUCUCUGUAUACAUAGGUCUAUGACUCAGUGAAGCAUUGUCUGUCUAUCUGUCUCUGUAUACAUAGGUCUAUGACUCAGUGAAGCAUUGUCUGUCUAUCUGUCUCUGUAUACAUAGGUCUAUGACUCAGUGAAGCAUUGUCUGUCUAUCUGUCUCUGUAUACAUAGGUCUAUGACUCAGUGAAGCAUUGUCUGUCUAUCUGUCUCUGUAUACAUAGGUCUAUGACUCAGUGAAGCAUUGUCUGUCUAUCUGUCUCUGUAUACAUAGGUCUAUGACUCGGUGAAGCAUUGUCUGUCUAUCUGUCUCUGUAUACAUAGGUCUAUGACUCAGUGAUGCUUCAUGUGAAGAGCAUAACUCAGGUAGCUUUGAAACGAUUCACAUGAAACUUCAUCUAAUAAUAGAAUACUUUGACAACAGUAAGAACUGCAAGAAACAGAACUGUUUCUUUGAUACUUUGACACAUGUAUUUAUUUAGUAAUUGUUCUUUGUUAUUCCCCUGUACAAAGAAGUGGCUGUUAAUUGCUUUUCCUUUGUCCAUCUGUCGGUUGGUCUAUCAAUGUGUAGACCCUUUGUUUCUUCUUAAUAUUUAGUGAGGCUUUUAACCAAGAUGCAAUGUAAUUUAGAGGUCAAGGUCACAGGGUAAAUUUGUUUUUGCAACAUAUCAAGUAUGCUUUGAUCUAAGAUCAUGCACAUUUUAUAGAGGUUACAUCUGUGAUAGGAAAGCUUAUUGAUUGUGUGGUCAUCUGGUCAAAGGUCAAGGUAAUAGGGUCUUGUAAAAAGAAUUUGCUGCAGGUCAAGGCGAAUACAUGUCUUACAAACAUCUCAUAUUUAGUUUUAAUGUGUAGAGCAUUAUUUUAGUAUAAAACUGAUUGUCAUUGACAUUUAUUUAUCAAAAGAGGGAAUUAAGUUGUCUGUUUUUCAAUAAAUACAAACAAAUUGUCUGUCAUUGUUAACUUAGAAUGUCAAGAUCACACUUUGGGUCACAUGACACAAUCAAUGACAUGACUUGUUGUUUACAAAUUUAAUUAAUAGAAAAUACACUAUGAAUAUAUCAAUAUAUAUAUAGUUAAUUCAGAAUCAAAAUUCUGUUACCGGUAUACAGAAAGAUAAUAUAUUUUAAUUAAGAAGAAAUUGGAAAAAGUAUAUAUUUGUUUAUCCACUGAAACCAACACAGUUAUUUUUUUUUACACUUUUCCAAGCUUUUAUUUCAAUAAUGUUAAGCCCCUUGUUAUCAGUUUAUUUACUUGUAUUAGUUGGCAAUAUGAAUACUGAAAAAAGAAUAACAGUGAAACAUUCACCAUUAACCAUAAUGUAAACUUUUUUUUCCAGUUCAAAAAAUUGCAUUUCCCAUUUAAAUCACUGAUUCUUCCAUAUAAGCGUCAGAAA